GUAGUACAGUGUGAACCAGACUUCUCCAACGGUGGGCGCAAAAUAUUCAAGGUAUAUAGAGAGAAAAUAUUUCCAGGGCGCCAACAGCAGUCCGCUUCCUUGUCGACGCGUUCGCCACGGAGUUGAACGAACAGGAGGCCAACAACGAGCAGGGCAGUUUUCAGCAGUUUGCAGUGGAACGAUUCACAGUGGAGCAUGCAGUUUGCAGUGGAGCGGUCACUGGUUGCAGUAUAGCGGCGAGUGUUUGCAACGAAGAUUCCCGUGAACAGUUGACAAACGGUGCAGCAAGCAGGAAGCCUGAAGAAACGUCGUUACAGAGAACGUCCACCAGCAGCCAAUGGAGCAAAUGGCGGCACCCACGCCAACACUGCCCAGACUACCGACUGAAGUAUGGGCAUUGAUAUUCGGUAAAUUGCCCGAUGGAUGGUAUUACGUUCAUCAUCUAGCAACCGUGUGUAGGCAAUUCGCAAUGGUCGCCGAUGGACAUAAAGUGCCUACUGAUGACGUCAUGUGUCAUACACAGUCUAGUGUAUGUGUGAGUAUGGUGUGAUGCGUGAUGUACAUGUAUAUUGCAUGUGGGGCUUGCAAGAAUUCGCGGCAUUGUUGGAUGGCGAGGAUUAGAAUCUGCUUCCGUCACUGUGUGACUGAUUGCCAAGUGAGUGUUGCGCAUGCGUUGGAUACGUGCAGCAUGCGUGGUGUACGUCGAGUCUGGGAGUGAGGCUCUGAGAGUGAGAGUCUGAGAGUGAUUCGUCCACAGUGUCGUUGUCUUGGUUUUCGUCAGGUGUGUUGUACGUACUCGUGUCUCAUUGGUUGUUCCGAUUCGUCCGUGCCUUAGAUCUGGCUAUUAUUGUUCAUUGUUUGUUAGUUCGUGGCCUUUCCUCUCUUUGCUCCCUCCACUAUCAUGUGCUGCAUCUCUUCAUUUCACCAGUCUUGCAACUUCCACUGAAAGAAACCUGAAAAGCCAAAUGAGCGAUAAA